rnacentral:rRNA from 1 species
UACGUAGGGUGCGAGCGUUGUCCGGAAUUAUUGGGCGUAAAGAGCUCGUAGGCGGUUUGUCGCGUCGGCCGUGAAAACUUGGGGCUUAACCCCAAGCCUGCGGUCGAUACGGGCAGACUUGAGUUCGGCAGGGGAGACUGGAAUUCCUGGUGUAGCGGUGAAAUGCGCAGAUAUCAGGAGGAACACCGGUGGCGAAGGCGGGUCUCUGGGCCGAUACUGACGCUGAGGAAGCGA